GUGGACAAGGAAGGAGCUUCUAACAGUUUCAAAGCCUGAGAUCAUACAUCCUCCUGCUCCACAUCAGCAAAUACUUUGGGACUAUGGAAAAGGUCAAGGGAAAAGAUCAUGACAAACUAAAGGAGUGAAGUGAUUUCACGAGAUCCUCGCGAACAAAAGGCACGGAAAACAGGCACAGGUGGAAUAAAAAGGGGAGUGGCUGAGGCCAGGCGGCUCUCGGGACAGCGCCCCCACGCCCCCAGUUCCCCCGGCCGCACCUGAGAAAUCACUGCCCUCCACACCUCGACCCUUCCGCGCCGGCGCCAGGAGCAAAUUCUCCGACCUAUUACCCUCCGCCCGUACCUUGGCCAGACACUGGGCAUUGUCUGGAGCCUCCUGUGCCAAAGAAAGGCAAGGAGGAAAGGAAAGGAGAGAACGAAGGAGAAAGAACAAGUGAGAAUAAAGAACGGAAAGGGAAGUAAAGCAACAGGGAAACUGUACGUUCCUUUUGGUAAAAUUAGCUUCCUCAUCGAUCACUCGAUUUAAUUCAGCCCCCAAAACCAACCCACCAGCCCAAAGGCUGCAGCCGGGGGUGGCCAAACCGGAGUCCCUCGAAGCUGUGCCCGCCCGAACCACUGAGGCAGGGAGAGGGAAAUGGGCGUGUGGGCUGGGCCUGGCUGGCCCGAGGCCGGGCUCCGAACAAAGCCGCCUGGGUCCCCAUACCUGGGACGAGGGCUCUGGGCGGCGCCGCCCUAGACGGGCGACGCCCUAGCCCCGCGGACCUGGCCCGGGCGAGGAAUCGCGGCCGGUCCCCUCCCCGCCCUCG